rnacentral:rRNA from 1 species
CAAGUCGAACGGGAUUGGGACUUCGGUUCCAUGAGAGUGGCGUACGGGUGCGUAACGCGUAUGCAACCUACCUUCAUCAGGGGGAUAGCCCGAAGAAAUUCGGAUUAACACCGCAUAAAAACACAGGAUAGCAUUAUCCRAUGUUCAAAUAUUUAUAGGAUGGAGAUGGGCAUGCGUGUCAUUAGCUAGUUGGUAAGGUAACGGCUUACCAAGGCGACGAUGACUAGGGGAUCUGAGASGAUGACCCCCCACACUGGUACUGAGACACGGACCAGACUCCUACGGGAGGCAGCAGUAAGGAAUAUUGGUCAAUGGAGGCAACUCUGAACCAGCCAUGCCGCGUGCAGGAAGACUGCCCUAUGGGUUGUAAACUGCUUUUAUACGGGAAUAAACCUUAGUUCGUGAACUAAGCUGAAUGUACCG